rnacentral:rRNA from 3 species
ACAACUUUUAAUAACAGAUCUCUUAGUUCUAGCAUUAAUAAAGAACGCAGCAAAAUGCAAUAAGUAGUAUGAAUUAUAGAAUUUAGUAAAUUAUUAAAUCUUUAAACGCAUAUUACGCCCCUUAGUAUUCUAUAGGGCAUGCCUGUUUAAGCGUUAUUUGUACCCUUAAGCUCUGCUUAGUAUUAGGUGUUUAUUCUACUUAGGACUUGCCUUAAAAUAAUUAGUAGCUAGCAUAUUAGCCUAGAGCGCAGCACAUUUUGCGCCUCUUGUUAUAGUUAUUAGUAUCUAUUAAGAUACUUUUUAAGCUCUUAACCUUAGAUUAGGUAGGGAUACCUGCUAAACUUAAGCAUAUUAAUAAGCAGAGGAAAAGAAACUAAUAGGGAUUGCCCUAGUAACGGCAAGUAAAGCGGCAACAGCUUAAAUUUAAAAUCUAGCUCUUUUAGGGUCCAAGUUGUAAUUUGCAGAGGGCGCUUUAGUGUUAGUAGUAGUCUAAGUUCCUUAGAAUAGGACGUUAUAAAGGGUAAGAAUCCUAUACGUAGUCGCUAGCCUUUGCCGUGUAAAGCCCCUUUAACAAGUUAAGUUAUUUAGGAAUAUAGCUCUAAAUAGGAGGUAAAUUUCUUCUAAAGCUAAAUACUAGCUAGAGACUAAUAGCGCACAAGUAGAGUAAUUAAAAGAUAAAAAGCACUUUAGAAAGAGAGUUAAAUAGCACAUGAAAUUGUUAAAAGGGAAGCGCUUGUAGCUAGACUUGCCUAUAGUUACUUAUCUAGGCUUUUAUCUAGUGUACUCUUCUAUAGGUAGGCUAGUAUUAGUUUAGGCAGUUAGAUAAAGGUCUCUGUCACGUACCUCCCUUUAGGGAGGCCUUAUAGGGGAGAUAACAUACAACUAGCCUAGACUAAGGUCCGCGUAUCUACUAGGAUGCUGGCGUAAUAGCUAUAAGCGGCCUGUCUUAAAACAUAGACUAAGGAGUCUAAUAUCUAUGCAAGUGUUUAGGUGUUAAGCCUAGACGCGUAAUAAAAGUAAAUAGAGGUAGGAACCCUUUUAGGGUGUACUAUUAACCAAUCCUAAUAUCUUUAGAAGGAUUUAAGUAAGAGUAUAGCUAUUAGGACCUAAAAGAUAGUAAACUAUGCUUAAAUAGGGUAAAGCUAGAGGAAACUCUAGUAGAGGCUUGCAGCAGUUCUAACGUGCAAAUUAAUUAUUAAAUUUAGGUAUAGGGGCAAAAGACUAAUUAAACUAUCUAGUAGCUAGUUCCUACUAAAGUUUCCCUUAGGAUAGUAGUAACGUAUUUAGUUUUAUAAGGUAAAGCAAAUAAUUAGAGGCCUAGGGGUUAAAAUAACCUUUACCUAUUCUUAAACUUUAAAUAUAUAAGAAGUCCUUAUUACUUAAUUAAACGUGGACACUUAAAUAUACUAUUACUAGUAGGCUAUUUUUAGUAAGCAGAACUAGUAAUGCAGGAUAAACUAAACGUAGGGUUAAGGUGCUAGAAUGCACGCUUAUUAGACACUACAAAAGGUGUUAGUUUAUCUAGAUAGCAGGAUAGUAGCUAUAGAAGUUAGAAUCCGCUAAGGAGUGUGUAAUAACUUACCUGCUAAAUAAACUAGCCCUAAAAAUAGAUAGCGCUUAAGCGUGUUACCUAUACCCCGCUGCUAGGGCAAGAUUUAAGCCCUAGCAAGUAGGCAGGCGUAGAGGCUCGUGACAAAGCCUUAGGGGUAACCCUAGGUAGAACAGCCUCUAGUGUAGAUCUUAGUAGUAGUAGCAAAUACUUAAAUAAGAACUUUAAGGACUAAAGUAGGGAAAGGUUCUGUGUGAAUAGCAGUUAGACAUAGGUUAGUUAAUCCUAAGAGAUAGGGUAAUUCUAUUUUAAUAUUAGUGCUUGCGCCACGCCCUUAAAAGGGAAGCUAGUUAAUAUUCUAGCACCUAGAUAUAGAUUCUCCGCAGCAACGCAACUAAGAGCAGAGACCUUAGCAGGAGCCCUAAGAAGAGUUCUCUUUUCUUCUUAAUAGUCUAUUACCCUAAAAUUAGUUUGUCUAGAGCUAGGGUUUAAUAGCUAGAAGAGCGCUACACUUUUAUAGCAUUUAGUGCGCUCCUAACAAGCCUUAAAAAUCUGCUUAAAGAAAUAGUUUUUACGCUAGGUUGUACUUAUAACUGUAGCAGGUCUCUAAGGUAAAAAGCCUCUAGUUAAUAGAAUAAUAUAGAUAAGGGAAGUUAGCAAAAUAGAUCUAUAACUUUAGGAAAAGGAUUAGCUCUAAGGGUUAGGUACGUUAGGCCUUAGGGAGAAGCCUCUAGCGCAGAAGGGCACUAACUGCAAGGUAGGCGCCUCUUAGCGCUAGGGUGCAGAUACCCUUAGCAGGUUUUAGCUAUCUAGCGUACGUUUAACAACUAACUUAGAACUAGUAUAGAUAAGGGGAAUCUAACUAUCUAAUUAAAACAUAGCAUUGUAAUAGCUAGAAAGUAGUGUUAAUAUAAUGUAAUUUCUGCCUAGUGCUCUAAAUAUUAAAGCGAAGAGAUUUAACUAAGCGCGGGUAAAUAGCAGGAGUAACUAUAACUCUCUUAAGGUAGCUAAAUGCCUUAUUAUCUAAUUAGUGACGCGCAUAAAUAGAUUAACAAGAUUCCUACUAUCCCUAUCUACUAUCUAGCGAAACCACAGCUAAGGGAACAGGCUUAGCUAAAUUAGCGGGGAAAGAAGACCCUAUUAAGCUUGACUCUAGUUUAACAUUGUGAAAAGAUAUAGGGGGUGUAGAAUAGGUAGGAGCUUUGGCGCUAGUAAAAUACUACUACCCUUAUUAUUUUUUUACUUAUUUAAUAAAGUAGAGCUAGGCCUUACUACCUAACUUCUAGCGUUAAAGGUCCUUUAUAGGCUAAUCUAGGUUAAAGAUAUUAUUAGGUAGGGAGUUUAGCUAGGGUGGCACAUCUAUUAAACUAUAACGCAGGUGUCCUAAGAGGGACUUAUAGAAAAUAGAAAUCUCUAGUAGAGUAAAAGGGCAAAAGUCCCCUUAAUUUUAAUUUUUAGUGUGAAUACAAACUAUAAAAGUGUAGCCUAUUAAUCCUUUAGUCCCUUAAAAUUUAAGGCUAGAGGUGCUAGAAAAGUUACUAUAGGGAUAACUAGCUUGUGGCAGCCAAGCGUUUAUAGCGACGUUGCUUUUUAAUCCUUUAAUAUUAGCUCUUCCUAUUAUACUAAAGCAGAAUUUGGUAAGCGUUAGAUUGUUCACCUACUAAUAGGGAACGUAAGCUAGGUUUAGACUGUUGUAAGAUAGGUUAGUUUUACCCUACUAAUAACCUUGCCCUAAUAGUAAUACCGCUUAGUAUAAGAGGAACCGCAGUUUUAGAUAAUUAGUUUUUGCGGCUGUCUAACUAGGCAUUGCCGCAAAGCUACUAUCUACUAGAUUAUGGCUAAACGCCUCUAAGUUAGAAUCUAUGCUAGAACAGGGUGAUUUCCGCCUGCACUAGUUAGAUACAAAUAGGCCUUUAGCCUAGAACCUUACUAGAUUAGCGUUAGCAGCCCUAUUAAAGUUAGGGUUGUUAGCUAGUGUAUUGCAAUUGUAUAGUGCGCAGGAUUAAAUCCUUUAUAGACAACUUA